UACGUAGGCAGCAAGCGUUGUUCGGAGUUACUGGGCGUAAAGGGUGUGUAGGCGGUUGUUUAAGUUUGGUGUGAAAUCUCCCGGCUCAACUGGGAGGGUGCGCCGAAUACUGAAUGACUAGAGUGUGGGAGAGGUGAGUGGAAUUCCUGGUGUAGCGGUGAAAUGCGUAGAUAUCAGGAGGAACACCGGUGGUGUAGACGGCUCACUGGGACGUGACUGACGCUGAGGAGCGAAAGCGUGGGGAGCGAACAGG
rnacentral:rRNA from 1 species